rnacentral:rRNA from 1 species
GAGUUUGAUCCUGGCUCAGGAUGAACGCUAGCGGUCGGCCUAACACAUGCAAGUUGAGCGGUAACGGAACUGAUUUAUCAGUAGACGACGAGCGGCGAAUGGGUGCGUAACGCGUAGGAAACUUACCCUUAACUGGGGCAUAGCCCGACGAAAGUUGGAUUAAUUCCCCAUAUAUUAUCGAGAGGCAUCUCUUGAUUAUAAAAGCUUCGGCGGUUAGGGAUGGUCCUGCGUCCUAUUAGCUAGUUGGUGAGGUAGAAGCUCACCAAGGCUACGAUAGGUAGGGGGUCUGAAAGGAUGAUCCUCCACACUGGCACUGAGACACGGGCCAGACUCCUACGGGAGGCAGCAGUGAGGAAUAUUGCGCAAUGGGCGAAAGCUUGACGCAGCCAGACCGCGUGAAGGAUGAAAGCCGUAAGGUUGUAAACUUCUUUUUUCUGCGAGGAACUACGAGUACGUGUACUCGUUUGACAGUAGCAGACGAAUAAGCACCGGCUAACUCCGUGCCAGCAGCCGCGGUAAUACGGAGGGUGCAGGCGUUAUCCGGAUUUACUAGGUUUAAAGGGUCUGUAGGCUGUAUUAUAAGUCAGUGGUGAAAGCCUCUCGCUCAACGGGAGAACUGCCAUUGAUACUGUAAUACUUGAGUAUGGUUGCUGUGGACGGAAUGCAUCAUGUAGCGGUGAAAUGCUUAGAUAUGAUGCAGAACACCAAUUGCGAAGGCAGUUCACAAAGCCAUUACUGACGCUGAUAGACGAAAGCGUGGGGAGCGAACAGGAUUAGAUACCCUGGUAGUCCACGCCGUAAACGAUGGAUACUCGUUGCUGGCGAUAAACAGUCAGUGACCAAGCGAAAGCAUUAAGUAUCCCACCUGGGGAGUACGUUCGCAAGAAUGAAACUCAAAGGAAUUGACGGGGGCCCGCACAAGCGGAGGAACAUGUGGUUUAAUUCGAUGGUACGCGAGGAACCUUACCUGGGCUUAAAUGUUUUGCAUCUUCGGAUGUAGUCUGUCGAAAGACAGCUUAGAAUGACAAGGUGCUGCAUGGUUGUCGUCAGCUCGUGCCGUGAGGUGUCGGGUUAAGUCCCAUAACGAGCGCAACCCUUAUUCUUAGUUGCCAUCAGGUAAUGCUGGGCACUCUAGGAAAACUGCCAUCGUAAGAUGUGAGGAAGGUGGGGAUGACGUCAAAUCAGCACGGCCCUUAUGUCCAGGGCUACACACGUGUUACAAUGGUCGGUACAAAAGGUCGCAACCUAGCGAUAGGAAGCUAAUCCCCAAAACCGGCCCCAGUUCGGAUUGGAGUCUGCAAUUCGACUCCAUGAAGCAGGAUUCGCUAGUAAUCGCGUAUCAGCAACGACGCGAUGAAUACGUUCCCGGGCCUUGUACACACCGCCCGUC